AUGAAAAUGGGCACCUUUGGCAAAUUCGGAAAUCAAGAACAUAGAUAUAGUAAACUCAGGUUUAAUUUCUUCAAAGUAGAUACUUCAUGCUUGAGAUCUUGUACCAUGCAGCGAGAGUGCACAUGUACUGUUUACAAUUUCAGGGAUGGUACCAACCCCAUUAGGCCUAAUGUGAUUCUGUCAAGGACAGAUGGCAACAACGCUGCUGUUGCUGCAGGGGCUGGCAUAUCUGGGAAAGAACCAGUAAUCCAAACUAAAACAGUUGACACGAGUCCUAAGCAUCCCUUUGUAGAAAAACAAUGCAGCCAUCCAUCCAAGCGCUUCAUACUGGUCUAA
rnacentral:rRNA from 1 species